AUCCAACUGACGAGCCAUAAAUGGAACGAAACGCGCGUUCUGGAU
rnacentral:hammerhead_ribozyme from 1 species